CCUACGGGAGCCUGCAGUGGGGAAUAUUGGACAAUGGGCGAAAGCCUGAUCCAGCCAUGCCGCGUGUGUGAAGAAGGCCUUCGGGUUGUAAAGCACUUUCAGUGGGGAAGAAAGCCUUGGGGCUAAUACCCUCGAGGAAGGACAUCACCCACAGAAGAAGCACCGGCUAACUCCGUGCCAGCAGCCGCGGUAAUACGGAGGGUGCGAGCGUUAAUCGGAAUUACUGGGCGUAAAGCGCGCGUAGGCGGUCUGAUAAGCCGGUUGUGAAAGCCCCGGGCUCAACCUGGGAACGGCAUCCGGAACUGUCAGGCUAGAGUGCAGGAGAGGAAGGUAGAAUUCCCGGUGUAGCGGUGAAAUGCGUAGAGAUCGGGAGGAAUACCAGUGGCGAAGGCGGCCUUCUGGACUGACACUGACGCUGAGGUGCGAAAGCGUGGGUAGCAAACAGGAUUAGAUACCCCUGUAGUC
rnacentral:rRNA from 1 species